ensembl:lncRNA
GCAGUUUGUUUUUUGAGAAUAGGCAUCCUGCCCUCUGAGACCCAUUACUUCUCUCCAAAUUACAGGGAUAUAAGAUUUACUCCAGGGCCCAGGGCUAAAUGCAGACUCUAGCAUAGAGGCAGAUAUCUGGGGGAUGUUCUGGUGGCCUUGAGCUCUCCCAGGAUCAUCCCCACAUGAGGAAGGCCCUGAAGUAGUCACAGGACACAUGAACUGGGACCUUGGCCAGCAAAGCCAGGCACCCAAAGGGACCUAUUUGUUAGGGAGAGGAGACAGGGAGAUGUUACAGUAAAGGACCAAAAUUCUCUUUUGACUCUAUACCAUAGACUGUUCAAAUAUCUUUAAAUAUACUCCUGGCAACCCCAUCUAGGUAUCCUUUUUUUUUGAGCAUGGGAUUUGAACAAGAUGGCCUCCAGAGGUCCCUUUCAACCCCAACCAUCCUGUGAUUCUGUGAUCUUCUUAUUUCCAAUGUGAGUGUCGGAUCUCUCCCAGCUGAGCUACCACAGGUGUCAGCGCUGAUGACAGGAGACAAGACUUUCAGCAGGUCCUAUCAUUCAAGACAGAGCCAGCUCAAGGCUUCUCCACCAUGAAGAUAUAUGAAAUUUGCAACCCAGAAGCAGCUGUGGGAGGGAGCUGGGCUGAAACGUGGGGCUGGAGGAACCCUGCCCCCCUGGGGCAGUGCUGUGUGGCAGGGACUAUGCCUGCUGCUUGAAGGGAUCAGUCUCUCUAUCCUGGUGUCACCACCGUGCUUCAAUCCCAGGGAGAUGCACAGCUGUGGCUGACAUGCACAAUGUGUGAAUGAGCAAAGGCCACUCUCUUCCCUGCUCCUUCUGCUUGCAACACUUAAAUCAGAGAAGCAAUAACAAGCCUCUGUCUCUUAAGAUAAAAGGGAUAUCAGCUUUCACCGGGCUUUUCUCCAGUUGUCAGAAAUCAGGUCAAGGGGCUGGGUUAAACAAUCACUGCCUGGCCUUUCCUUCAAGAAAUGCAUGUUCUCACACAUUCAUCAACUAUGAGACUGGAUAUAAAUACAAACCAAGGGAUAAUUCUAAUGAAAGAAAACCAGUUAGUCAGAAAUGAAAGGUUCCCUCUUGUCACUGAUGCAAUAUUUCUGGAAAAGAAAGCUCCAUUCUCCAAGGCUGCUUGCCAGCUUGAGUAACAUGCUGAGGACCUCCAAACCCAAAGGUCCAUAUUUUUGGGAAUUAAACCAAGAAGAAAUCUGGGUAGCCUGGUAUUGAGGAAGGCAGAGGUCCUCUGUGGACGCAGGAGACGUGAUGGAGGAUCUUGUACUGCUGGAACUACUGAUUGCGGGACUGAGAAGAAUGCUUUAUACAGCCACAAAGCUGAACCUGCCUCUUCCUGCUUCCAGAAGUGACCUUGAAGUAGAAUUUUUGGACAUCAUAAGCCUUUCCCCCUGCAACAGUGUCAUGCAAUUUUGUGUAGCUCUUUGUUACCCAGGGCUGUAAUCAAUGUAUCGGUUUAUUUGGGAGAAUGUGCUCGUGUUAUAUUGAUAGGUCUGUAGUUAGGCAUUAAUGGCAGUGAUUACUACUGGUUCAGCCAGGGCUAGAAACAAUGGAAAAAUCUCAUGAUAAACUCUCAAAACUUGGCUGCAAUUUUGCAAGCACAAGUAGUUUUGGAACUUUAGAUAAGCUUCCAAAGGUUUAGAUCCAGGUCCAAACAAAACGCAAACGCUAAAAUUAUGAGGCUUGUGCAUCACUAACACAUACUCCCAUAUUUACUUCCAUGAGGAAAUACUAAACAUUUUAUGGAUUUUUCAUGCCCCAGUUGGUUCUCUACACUGGCUGGGAUUUCUGUAGCCUGCCUUUGCAGCUAUAUAGACAUCAAUAAAGAUGAAUAAAGCUGGGCA